rnacentral:rRNA from 1 species
UACGAAGGGGGCUAGCGUUGCUCGGAAUUACUGGGCGUAAAGCGCACGUAGGCGGAUCGAUCAGUCAGGGGUGAAAUCCCAGAGCUCAACUCUGGAACUGCCUCUGAUACUGUCGAUCUGGAGUAUGGAAGAGGUGAGUGGAAUUCCGAGUGUAGAGGUGAAAUUCGUAGAUAUUCGGAGGAACACCAGUGGCGAAGGCGGCUCACUGGUCCAUUACUGACGCUGAGGUGCGAAAGCGUGGGGAGCAAACAGG